GAAAUUAAAUAUUAUUUGAUAUCAAACAAAUUCAUAAAUACAACAAAAGAUUACAACAGGUUUUUUGUAUAUGUUCAUCCCGAGUUUUACUGAAUAAUUACAAAUUAGUGUUUAUAAAGAUAAUGUGUUGAAUUAAAGUAAGUCUAUGUAUGUUUUGAAAAUAUCAUAUAGUUUUACUGCUUUUUGUCAUGUGUUUCUUCGUCCACUUCGCUGUGGUUUUUGUAUUUCAUUCAUUUGGGACAUGAUGUUUUCUGUGUAGUAUCUGUGAAAUGGAUAGAUGUUGGUUAAGUGUUGGCUAUAAAUAAAAAGCUAUAUUUUAGUCAUACCUGGAUGUUCUAAUUGGAGGCAUUUUCCUGUUUCACAUGAUUUAGUAGGGGUGAAGGACUCCAUAUUUGUAGUGGUUUGUUGGUCCAUUGUUGUCGAAGGUGUAGUUGGUGGUCUUCUAGUUGAAUUGAUAGUUGGUUGUGGACUUUUUAUAUCAUUGGUUGUGGUGACUAUGAAACGGAUAUUUUUAGUUGAUGGAAGUUUUGUGCAUUGUACAAAAACAUUCUUUGUCAACCCUUUAAAACGUUGCAGUGGUUCCGGUAAAGUCAGUGGUCAAAAUUACACACACUGGAACAAUUCCCACAAUCAUAAUAAACAUGCAAACUUGGUGUCUCUUCUAAAAGUGAACUCUUGCAUGAACGACGGGGGACUAUCGUAUUGGAAGUAGAAGCCAUUUGUCGUCGUUUUGGAGGCAUCACAAGAAGGCAUUUACUGAAAUGGAAAUCCAAAUUUCAUUGACUUGUAACAUACUUUUUAUGUAAUUCAUAUGGAACAUUAGAUUCUAAAAAGGUGUAGUUGAAAGUAACUAUUAUGAUUAGUAACUAACUUAUGGAGUAUAUAUUAAAUAACAUUUGGAAGAGAUUAAUAACAUACUCUAUUAUUGUUUUAACCCAUGGAUUCAUUGAACAUCAAAGAUAAGAAAUAUAUUUGCAACAACAAAAUUAGUCAUUAAUCAACUGAUAAUGGUAUAUAUUCAACUAAAGCUUGUAAAUAGGAUAAAAUUGAAAAAAUGACCAUUCUAUUAAAAUUUAUGCCUAAAGGACCAUUAUUGUAAUUGAGUAUUGAUUUAGGACCAAAUUAGUAAACUUAUGUACACAAAACAUAUUCAGUGAAAGGGUUAAAGACAACUUACCAAAUUUCUAAAGAUCCAAGGUAGAAUUGAAUAUUAGAUUCCUUAUCACAAAAUGUUUAUAAUUUUUAUAUUAACAUAAAUUCAUGAGAAACCAAAGGGUGUUAAAAUGUCUAACUUGCAGAGGCAAUGAAGAAAGAGAGAAAAAUUGAAAUUGAAUAUGGACAGAAAUCAAUAUCAAAUACAAAGGAUAGACAACAUACCUAGAAAUUCAAAUUGUAAUUGAGUGUAGUCGGUUGAAGGCGGAUACAAAGCAGAACCGUUUGUUGGCGACAAAAACGUCAAACCUAGAAUGAAAACUUAAACGUAUUGAGUUGGAAAUGAAGAAAUUUAUAUGAAAAUGGAACAGAAAAUCAAUAUGAUAUAAUUGCGAUAUAGUAUAGACGAGGUAGGCGUCUAGGAGUAUGACUAAAGAAGUAUUUCAAAAAUCAGUAAUAUUUAAAGAGAAAAUUUUAAAUUGACAUACCUUAUUAAUUGGAAUUGUUGGAUUCCUAGUUGUAAGUGCUCGAAGAUAAAGACGGUGGAAACGUCAAACACAGAUUUUGUAAUCAAAGAAAGAACGAAUUAAUAUGAUGGUGUUGGGAAUUUGCACAUAUUCACAAAGAUUAGAGAAAGUUGUUAUGUAUUGAAAGCAAGAAAGAGUUCACAAUUGACAUACCUUAUGAGUCGUAAUUGUUUGAGUCCAAAUUCUAAGUGCUUGGAGAAAAAGAUGGUGGUUGAGAGGCUCUGAAACGAAGUAGGACUAAUUAAUUUUAAACUAAAACAUGAAUAAAGUUCAAAUUUAGCACUAACUUUAUGAUGAACUCAACUAAAAACAUAGAAAGAAAAAUGAUACAUUUUACAAAUUAUAAAAAUAUAAACAAAAACAAUAGAAGGAACAAACACAAAAAGACGACACAAAAAAAGAUGUAAACAAAAAAUCAAAAUCAAAUAAAAACAUUAUAUGACCUACCGAAAUUCAAAAAUACAACAAAGAGCACAUGCUGUUUGUGGUGGUAAUUGAGCACCGACGGUCAAACCCACAAAGUCGAAGACAUCGCUCAAAAACACGGAAGGAUUAGAAGGAAUAGCAAUUGAAUUGAAAAUCACAAUAUAAUUGAUACAUUAUACGACAUACCAUAAUUCGUCAUAGAAACAAAUAGAAAUUCGUAGCCUUCAACAUACCAGAAUUUGUCACAGCAAUAGAUAGAUAUUCCUAGUCUCCUUAUAUCAUUAAUGAAAAUCCUGAAAUAAGAUUUCAGAAUUCCAGUUACCAAAUAUUAGAGUAAACAUAAAAAGUUAAAGGGGUUAUUUUGUCAUUAUUAAAGUGUUUUUAACACAUUUGACUAAUAUACAAAGAAUAAGUACUCAAUUAGAAAAUUAUUCUUCAUGAUGCAAGAAAUAUUAUGUUUUUCUUUUAUUCAACUUUUGUCGCUAACAUACAACACAAUACAAAAAAAAAAUGGUUCACUAUGGGAUUUCCAGGGUAUUUGUUGACUCACCUUCUUUUAUAAUGUCAAAAUUAGCAUUCUUUAUGAUAAAUGACCAAUGAUUCCAUCUACUAUUGUAAAAGCUUUAGUCUUUUUGAUAAAUAACCAAUAAUAUAUGGGUGGUGAGUCCUAGAUUAUACAAAUUCUUAUUUAGGGUGCAUUCUUUUGAACGCUUUUGGAAGUUUCUUCAGAUAACCGUAUCAGGGUUUUUUUUUUCAGUUUAUGGUUGUUUUACAACUUACUUUAGUUGUCAUUUGACCUUUUUGCCCCUGUGAGGCUGUGGCUUACCUGGUUUUUGUUCCAAUCUUGAUUGCAGUAUACACCUGCUGUUGAUACACUUAGAUGCAAGCCAAGUUAACUACACCAGAGAUUAAGAUAAUGACUAUUUGUAUAGAAAUUUUACUUUGUGGUGAAAAGAGUCGUUUUGUAUUUUUUUUUUUGGAAAUUGGCCAUUAACUGUUACUGUGUGUGGGUGUUUCGGGCUAAGAUAUUGAUUUAUCUGUUUGUGUAUUUUAUCCCUUCUUUCAUAGUUCUUUUUGUUGAAAAGAGUCGUUUUUUUGUUUAUAUGCAAUCAUUUUUUUUCUUUAACAUAUAGUAAUAAAUACAAUUAGUUAAACACGUUAAGCAUGCCUUUAGUCGUAUUAUGUAUCCAAUUGUAUCGAAUCAAAUCAUCCUAAUAUUACAUUAAACGCUUUUGGUCUUAAAUGAGUCAGAGGAAACUUUUGUUUAUACUUGAAUGAGUGAAUUAUUUGAGACUAAAAUCUGAUGGAAUGGCGUUUUAACAUUGAAAAGAAUUUGCUCUUCUUUUCUUCACAUGAAUUGAUGAUCAACAGCAUUUGUAUGAGAGUGUUUUGAAAUGAGAGCAUAGAUUCUUGUCAUUACAAUUUGUAAAACCUCUCUUAAUCAUUACAUAAAUAAUUUGAAAUAGCUUCGAGUUAUUGACUCUUUGUUGGAUUCACAACUUUAGGGUUAGUUGGGGUGACAAAUUAUGUUCAUUCUUACGAUGUUCUGACCAGGAAAUGGACCAGGUAGUUCUAAUUCGUUCUUAUAUUUGACUUAACUUUUCUAGAAGUCAAUGCUAAUGCUUUUUUUUUCAGAAUUCGACAAGCUGGAGAACCACCUUCACCCAGGGUUGCUCAUGCAGCUGCUGUUGUUGGAACAAUGGUUGUAUUUCAGGUAACCAUAAUUAUGAACUAAAGUGAAAAAAGGAGAUCUUUUAGCCAUUUAUCUGAUUUUUGGUUUUUGAUAAACCGAUUGUGCAUGAUUAGGGCGGCAUUGGUUGAUAAAAUAAUAAAUAUUAAGAUUCUUUCUCCAUUUCGAGGAGGUGUCUCGCAUGUGUGGACUUCCCUUUAACUUUUACUUAAUUAAGUAAUUAAGCUAUAUAGACUAUUACUAAGUUGAUAACAUCUAGGUUUUGGAACAAUUAUAUAUAUAAAAGCCUUUAUCGUUCUAUUCCUCAUGUCCUUGAUCCAUGAUCUUUGUUUGUUUUCUAAACAACUAUUUCUAUAACUUAACUUUUACAAUACUGUUAAAUUGAACUAAUAAAUUAACAAAAUAGAAGGUUAUAUAAUAAUGCAACUUUUGACAUUGUUGUUGUUUUUAUAUGUAGGAUCCUAAACAUGGACACUGGUGGCUACAAUUUGGAUCAGGGGUGCUAAUAGGAUAUUGGCCAUCUUUUUUUAUUCAGUCAUCUACAAAAAGAAGCAAGUAUGAUACAAUUUGGAGGGGAGAUAGUGAACACAAGAUCAGGGGGUAUCACACAUCAACUCAAAUUGGAAGUGGCCAUUUUGCAGAUGAAGGUUUUGGAAAAGCUUCAUACUUUAGGAAUUUACAGGUUGUUGAUUGGGACAACAGUUUGCUUCCUUUAACAAAUCUCCAUGUAUUAACUGAUAAUCCAAAUUGUUACAAUAUAAAAGCCGGAAAAAAUAAUGUUUGGGCGAAUUGUAUUUAUGAUGGAGGUCCAGGAAGGAAAGGAGGUUGUCAAUAGAGAAAAUUGCAUAGUAGUAACAAUAUUUUUAUUUACAUUAUUAAUUCUUUCCCUCUAGAGGAUUUUUGGAAUUUUUUGUCUAAAAAAGAUCCCUUUUUAAGUUUUAUUUGUAGUAGGUUGCCAUAAUUAAGCCAUGUUAAUGAGGGCUCUUGUAUAUUAGCGUUAGGGGUAGUAACUGAUUUUAUAAUGUAUUAUGGUUUGUAUUUCGUAAUGUGGUGAUUUGAUUUUUCAUUAUAACAGCAAACAAUAACCUAACAACAAAAUAAAUAGCCUACCUUGACAACAUAUAUAGGUGGAACUUUUGCACUUUAUUCUUCAAUAUGCGGACAUGCUAAAGUAAGCCUUUUACCAAAUCAACAAACUGCUGAUGAAUCACUGUGUACAUAUAAAUUCAAGCAAUCUAAUGAUGGGAAAUAUUGUCUAGAGGGUUUCGUAACUUUAAUUUCACAGAGUAGGAAAGACAAUCAAAAUCAUAUGACGGAGAACAUACCAAGAAUUGAAAUUGCAAUUGAGUGUAGAUUAUUGGAGGCGGCAACAGAAGGCGUCGUCGGAGAUGUCAAACCCAUAUUUGAAAUCCUAAUUUAUUGAUAGAGAAGCCGUAGGAGAUCUCAAAUCCACACAGUCGGAAAACAGAAAAAGAAGAGGAGUCUGAAGAUUUUGGAGAAACGUAUAAAAACGAUGAUGGAGGAAUAUUCUCUAGACGAUUUCAUAACUUCAAUUUCACAGAGUCGGAAUAUAAGAAAAAAGCAAAUUCGAGAUUGAAACAAAAUCAAUAUCGAAUAGAACAAAACAUACCCAGACAUCAAAUUUCAAUUGAUUGUGGAUGGUUGGAGGCAGCAACAACCGUUUUUUGGCAAGAAAUUGAAACUUAGACAGAAAAUCAAAAUCGAAUAGAAGAAAACAUACCCAGACUUCAAAUUUCAACUGAUUGUAGAUGGUUGGAGGCAGCAACAACCGUUUUUUGGCAAGAGAAGUUGAAAUUCUAAGUUCUUGAUUGAUAAGGUGUAUGAGAUGUCAAACCCAUAAUUCAAAUUCGGAAUUGUUGAUUGAGAAGCGUAUUCAGAAUUCUUGAUUGAGAAGCGUAUGAGAUGUCAAGAAGAGAAGUCUGAAGAAAUGGUAGAAACUUAUGGAAGCGAUCAUGGGGGUAAAAUUUUAAAAGUGUUGAUUGUUAUGGAGAAUUUGGAGAAACCUAAUGUGGCGAAACUCUAAAC
rnacentral:lncRNA from 1 species